CCUACGGGAGGCUGCAGUGGGGAAUAUUGCGCAAUGGGCGAAAGCCUGACGCAGCGACGCCGCGUGAGGGAUGAAGGUCUUCGGAUCGUAAACCUCUGUCAGCAGGGAAGAACGGUCACUGUGCUAAGCAGCAGUGAAUUGACGGUACCUGCAAAGGAAGCACCGGCUAACUCCGUGCCAGCAGCCGCGGUAAUACGGAGGGUGCGAGCGUUAAUCGGAAUUACUGGGCGUAAAGCGCUCGUAGGCGGUAUGUCAAGUCAAGGGUGAAAUCCCCGCGCUCAACGUGGGAACUGCCUUUGAAACUGGCAAACUGGAGUGUGGGAGAGGAUAGUGGAAUUCCAGGUGUAGGGGUGAAAUGCGUAGAUAUCUGGAGGAACAUCAGUGGCGAAGGCGACUAUCUGGCACAUAACUGACGCUGAGGAGCGAAAGCGUGGGUAGCAAACAGGAUUAGAUACCCCUGUAGUC
rnacentral:rRNA from 1 species